GUACAUGCAGUGCAGGCUGGGAAGGGACUCAUUGUGAACAAGCAAUUGAUCUGUGUUUAUCCACCCCAUGUGAGAAUGGAGGAGUCUGCAAUAACUUUCAGACAAGUUACAACUGUACAUGCAGUGCAGGCUGGGAAGGGACACACUGUGAACAAGCAAUUGAUCUGUGUUUACCAUCCCCAUGUGAGAAUGGUGGAGUCUGCAAUAACUUUCUGACAAGUUACAACUGUACAUGCAGUGCAGGCUGGGAAGGGACUCAUUGUGAACAA